rnacentral:sRNA from 1 species
AAAUUAAAAUGGUGGUGCAGUAUCCUAGUCGGUGAUGGUAUUUCUGAAAGCGGGCCUAAAAAUCCGUUAAGGGCACAUCGAUGAAGUUUCUGGUGUUGGCUUCUGACGCCCAGUCAGGGGUUGAUGCUGGGAGUUAAGAAUUUCGGGCAACCCGCAAUGGCAUGCGGAUCCUGACCCGACUUUCGUGGAGACCUACUGUGGUGGUUGUUAAAAAUCAAUUACUCUUUAGGAUUAAACCUGUAUUGCGGUUAAUGCUGUGUACAGUGUAGCCUGCCUUGAGUGGUAUCGGUGGAUAAACGGAACACGCUUCGCUGUGUUUGGCCGAAUGCGGCGUUGGGCGAUUGCCUUUUGAAACCCGUACUGCAAAAGAGGCUAGGAAAUAUUGGAGCUGUGGAGGAAAGCUCCUAGGCUGUGACCUUGUUUAUAGUGAGGCAUAUUGGGGAUUACGGUGUGCUCUAAGUGGCAAUCCGGUUCCGUGGAUGGUAACAAGCGGCUGAUUCUUUAAAGGGAAACCGCCUCUUCCGGCGACGGGGGGCAGUAUCGGGGGAAAUCCCGCCGGACCUAUG